rnacentral:RNase_P_RNA from 1 species
CGAGGUGACCGGACGGUCGCGGUCGUCCCCGUCGCAAGGCGGGGACGGUCGAGGAAAGUCCGGGCUCCACAGGGCAGGGUGGUCGCCAACAGCGACCCGGGGUGACCCGCGGGACAGUGCCACAGAGAAGAGACCGCCUCCCUCUCGAGGGCGGCAAGGGUGAAACGGUGCGGCAAGAGCGCACCAGCGCUCGGGGUGACCCGAGCGGCUCGGCAAACCCCACCCGGAGCAAGGUCAAGAGGAGCCGCGUGGCUCUGCGCAGACGUUCGAGGGCGGCCCGCCCGAGUCUGCGGGUAGACCGCACGAGGCCACUGGCAACAGCGGUCCUAGAUGGAUGACCGUCACCUUCCUCCGGGGAGGGACAGAACCCGGCUUACAGGUCACCUCGUCCC